AGCAUAUCAAUAAGCGGAGGAAAAGAAACCAACAGGGAUUGUCUUAGUAACGGCGAGUGAAGCGACAAAAGCUCAAAUUUGAAAUCUGGCACCUUCGGUGUCCGAGUUGUAAUUUGAAGAAGGUAACUUUGGAGUUGGCUCUUGUCUAUGUUCCUUGGAACAGGACGUCACAGAGGGUGAGAAUCCCGUGCGAUGAGAUGUCCAACUCUAUGUAAAGUGCUUUCGAAGAGUCGAGUUGUUUGGGAAUGCAGCUCUAAGUGGGUGGUAAAUUCCAUCUAAAGCUAAAUAUUGGCGAGAGACCGAUAGCGAACAAGUACAGUGAUGGAAAGAUGAAAAGAACUUUGAAAAGAGAGUGAAAAAGUACGUGAAAUUGUUGAAAGGGAAGGGUUUGAGAUCAGACUUGGUAUUUUGUAUGUCUUGCUUUCGGGUGGGGCCUCUGCAGUUUACUGGGCCAGCAUCGGUUUGGACGGUAGGAUAAUGACAUUGGAAUGUGGCACUACUUCGGUG
rnacentral:rRNA from 1 species